AGAACAUGCUCUCACGUUCAAAUAGAGCAGCGAAAAUGUUCGUUUCAACGCGCGAGAUAAACUCACCGUCAAUGCCGAACUCGGUGGCACGCGAAAUAAACGAGAAAUUCCACUACGCUUCUAUCCGUUUCUCACUUCGUAUCGUUGUUGUUGUUCGAUUCGCUAUGGACCGUUGACGACGGAGAUUCAGAUUUCACGGUAUUAUGUUCUGAGAUGGCGGGGAUGCUUCCAUGGUUGCGAAUCGAUUCGGUCGAUGAUGAAGCCUUAGUUCCCGUGGGUUUAUUUUCUAGAUUUUUGGUGGUUUUUGAAGGAGGUUGGGGUUUGGUUCUGGAUUUCGGUUUAGAAGGUUCUCUGUGUUUUGUGGCCUGAGUUACUAUUGAGGGGUUGAGCGUGGUAAUGAGUUACUCAUGAUUGAUUUCGGUGAUGGAAGGGGUGAGGUUGGAAGUUGAGGUUGGAUUGAAUUUCUUGACGUAUUGGUUCUGCAGAGGAGGAGGUAUCGAUGGGGAUUGAAGGGUUUUUGGGGAUUGAAGGGUUUUUGGGGAUGGAGAGUGAAUACCUGUUGAAUGAUGGUGAAGAUGAUGGAAAGGGUGAAGGUGGUUUAGAAGAAUGAGGAGAAGUCUGUUGCAGGGUGAAGAGUUGUGCUUUUAUUGAGAAGUUUUUCUCAGGUUUUGAAAUUCGGUCAAGUUGGUGGUUACAGGAGUUAUUGAGUGGGUUAGAAGUUGGUUAGAUUCAAUGAUAGUUGGCGACAGUUGGAAUUGGUUAGGCGGUUAGGACGGUUGAAGACAGUUGGAAUUCAGUUCAAGUUUGUUUUGACAGUUGCCGGAUCUGUUUUGGUUGUCACAGUUGGCUUUUUCAAUUUCUGUUAAAGGUUUUAGGAUUGAAGAGUUAAUGUUUGUUGUGGUUGCCUGUUUAGAAUCGGUUGUGGCAGUUAUGUUGAAGGGAUGAUCGAGGUUGAAGUUGGGAGGAGUCUUUGUUGAAGAAUUUGGUUUCGAUUCUGUUAGGAGCUUGGUUGAAAUAGUAGGUGAUUUAUGCAGUGUUAGGCAAAUAUGAAUGGUGGUUAGAGUGUUGUUGGCUUCAAAUUUCUGUUACAUUCUGUUUUCGAUUUUCCAGGUUUUUGGUUGUUUGUUGCGGUUGCUGCAACUGUGGGAAAAAGGUUGCAAUGUAAGGAUAAUUGUUUGGAUAACUAGGAUAGGGACAUUAGAACUUAUUGCUAUGGGUUAAAUCACUUGGAUUUUAUUACAUGUUAUUUUAUUUUGGAUUUCUUUACAGGUUGACAUCAAUCGGGCUCCUUGGUCAUGGAAUUACUCGGUGGUUGUCUUACGGUUAAGCGGAAUCGGGCUUUGGAUUUGGCUUGGAUUUAUAGUUGUAGGUUUUAUGUAAUGUUGUAAUGUAUUUUUAUUUGGAAUUUAUUGUUGCGUAGAAUAUUUGUAAUGUGCCUUUGGAAGAUGGCCAUUAUAAUGUAAUUUUGGAUUGAAGUAUUGUAUGGUUUAAAGGGAAAUUUGAAUGAAAAACUAAAUUUGGUUUAA